rnacentral:tRNA from 1 species
GAAGGUAUAACCCAGUGGUAGAGUGCAUGCUCAGCAUGCAUAAGGUCCUGGGUUCAAUCGCCAAUACCUCCA